GGAAACAUGUUACUUCUUAGUACAAACUUAAUAGAAACUCUUAAUCUAAGCAAAUGUUUAAAACACUUCACAACCCUGUAUAUUUUAUACUUGAAUGAUGCCACAUUUCGUUUACGGGGUCGAAUCGACCGGGUCAAAUAACUUACACAUGUUAAAUUUAUUAUCAAAUUAUACAUAUUAAAAAAAAUACAUCUACUCGAAAAUAAUAUUAUUAUGAUAUUAUGACAAUUUCGAAACUGCCUAAAAUAAAAACCGUAGAUGGAAUAUAUUAUCUCUUAAAAACUAAUCUUAUAGUAAACCGUGUCACGUGAACAGGUGCGAUGGAAACCGUUUAAAUUUUGAUUAAUGCACGUCUAGGAAAUGCGUUAAAAGAUGCGUGGUAAGAAGAGGAGGCCAAGACCAGAGUACUAAAAUAUGAUUAGAAAUAGCGCAGGACGUUAAUCUAUAGGGAAGAAUACGAGAACCUAAGAGAAUUGAUUUACAGAUGCAGUGACGCGGAGAGCUGCAGCAAACUAUAAUCUAUAAUAAGAAUUACUGACAAGAAGAUACGUGCCCAAUACGAUUAUUACGCGCAGUUAAUAUGACGUCACACGA